AUGAACGCUAGCUACAGGCUUAACACAUGCAAGUCGAGGGGCAGCAUGAACUUAGCUUGCUAAGUUUGAUGGCGACCGGCGCACGGGUGAGUAACACGUAUCCAACCUGCCGAUGACUCGGGGAUAGCCUUUCGAAAGAAAGAUUAAUACCCGAUGGCAUAGUUCUUCCGCAUGGUAGAACUAUUAAAGAAUUUCGGUCAUCGAUGGGGAUGCGUUCCAUUAGGUUGUUGGCGGGGUAACGGCCCACCAAGCCUUCGAUGGAUAGGGGUUCUGAGAGGAAGGUCCCCCACAUUGGAACUGAGACACGGUCCAAACUCCUACGGGAGGCAGCAGUGAGGAAUAUUGGUCAAUGGACGAGAGUCUGAACCAGCCAAGUAGCGUGAAGGAUGACUGCCCUAUGGGUUGUAAACUUCUUUUAUACGGGAAUAAAGUGAGGCACGUGUGCCUUUUUGUAUGUACCGUAUGAAUAAGGAUCGGCUAACUCCGUGCCAGCAGCCGCGGUAAUACGGAGGAUCCGAGCGUUAUCCGGAUUUAUUGGGUUUAAAGGGAGCGUAGGCGGACGCUUAAGUCAGUUGUGAAAGUUUGCGGCUCAACCGUAAAAUUGCAGUUGAUACUGGGUGUCUUGAGUACAGUAGAGGCAGGCGGAAUUCGUGGUGUAGCGGUGAAAUGCUUAGAUAUCACGAAGAACUCCGAUUGCGAAGGCAGCUUGCUGGACUGUAACUGACGCUGAUGCUCGAAAGUGUGGGUAUCAAACAGGAUUAGAUACCCUGGUAGUCCACACAGUAAACGAUGAAUACUCGCUGUUUGCGAUAUACAGUAAGCGGCCAAGCGAAAGCGUUAAGUAUUCCACCUGGGGAGUACGCCGGCAACGGUGAAACUCAAAGGAAUUGACGGGGGCCCGCACAAGCAGUGGAGUAUGUGGUUUAAUUCGACGCAACGCGAAGAACCUUACCAAGUCUUGACAUCCUGCGACGGUGCUGGAAACAGUACUUUCCUUCGGGACGCAGAGACAGGUGGUGCAUGGUUGUCGUCAGCUCGUGUCGUGAGAUGUUGGGUUAAGUCCCGCAACGAGCGCAACCCCUGUUCUUAGUUGCCAGCAUGUAAAGAUGGGAACUCUAAGAAGACUGCCGUAGACAAUACGGAGGAAGGUGGGGAUGACGUCAAAUCAUCAUGCCCUUUAUGUCUUGGGCUACACACGUACUACAAUGGGUGUAACAGAGGGAAGCAAGAUAGCGAUAUGGAGCGAAACCCAAAAAGCACCCCCAGUUCGGAUUGAAGGCUGAAAUUCGCCUUCAUGAAGCCGGAAUUGCUAGUAAUGGCAGGUCAGCAUACUGCCGUGAAUACGUUCCCGGGCCUUGUACACACCGCCCGUCACACCAUGAGAGUUGGGGAUACCCGAAGCCUGUGAGCCAACAGUAAUGAGGCAGCAGUCGAAGGUAGAAUCAAUGAUUGGGGUG
rnacentral:rRNA from 1 species